AAACUUGAGAGUUUGAUCAUGGCUCAGAACGUACGCUGGCGGCACGCCUAACACAUGCAAGUCGAACGAAGUAGCAAUACUUAGUGGCAGACGGGUGAGUAACAUGUAGGUAUCUGCCCUUUGGCCUGGAAUAACACGAGGAAACUUGUGCUAAUACCGGAUAAGUCUUUACAGAGAAAGCUUUAUGCACCAUUGGAUGAGCCUGCACUUGAUUAGUUUGUUGGUGGGGUAAUGGCCUACCAAGACUGUGAUCAAUAGCUGAUUUGAGAGGAUGAUCAGCCACAUUGGGACUGAGACACGGCCCAAACUCCUACGGGAGGCAGCAGUGGGGAAUCUUGCACAAUGGAGGAAACUCUGAUGCAGCGAUGCCGCGUGAGUGAAGAAGGCCUUUGGGUUGUAAAGCUCUUUCGUCGGGGAAGAAAAUGACUGUACCCGAAUAAGAAGGUCCGGCUAACUUCGUGCCAGCAGCCGCGGUAAUACGAAGGGACCUAGCGUAGUUCGGAAUUACUGGGCUUAAAGAGUUCGUAGGUGGUUGAAAAAGUUAGUGGUGAAAUCCCAGAGCUUAACUCUGGAACUGCCAUUAAAACUUUUCAGCUAGAGUAUGAUAGAGGAAAGCAGAAUUUCUAGUGUAGAGGUGAAAUUCGUAGAUAUUAGAAAGAAUACCAAUUGCGAAGGCAGCUUUCUGGAUCAUUACUGACACUGAGGAACGAAAGCAUGGGUAGCGAAGAGGAUUAGAUACCCUCGUAGUCCAUGCCGUAAACGAUGUGUGUUAGACGUUGGAAAUUUAUUUUCAGUGUCGCAGGGAAACCGAUAAACACACCGCCUGGGGAGUACGACCGCAAGGUUAAAACUCAAAUGAAUUGACGGGGACCCGCACAAGUAGUGGAGCAUGUGGUUUAAUUCGAAGAUACGCGCAGAACCUUACCAACACUUGACAUGUUCGUCGCGACUCUAAGAGAUUAGAGUUUUCGGUUCGGCCGGACGAAACACAGGUGCUGCAUGGCUGUCGUCAGCUCGUGUCGUGAGAUGUUGGGUUAAGUCCCGCAACGAGCGCAACCCUCACUUUUAGUUGCCAUCAUUAAGUUGGGCACUCUGAAAGAACUGCCAGUGAUAAGCUGGAGGAAGGUGGGGAUGACGUCAAGUCCUCAUGGCCCUUACGUGUUGGGCUACACACGUGCUACAAUGGUAUCUACAACAGGAAGCAAAACUGCGAAGUUAAGCAAAUCCCUAAAAGAUACCUCAGUUCGGAUUGCACUCUGCAACUCGAGUGCAUGAAGCUGGAAUUACUAGUAAUCGUGGAUCAGCGUGCCACGGUGAAUGCGUUCCCGGGUCUUGUACACACCGCCCGUCACACCAUGGGAGUUGGUUCUACCUUAAGGCAAGGUUUCAAACCCUUGACCACGGUAUAGUCAGCGACUGGGGUGAAGUCGUAACAAGGUAGCCGUAGGGGAACCUGCGGCUGGAUUACCUCCUUU
rnacentral:rRNA from 1 species